rnacentral:rRNA from 1 species
AUGGGCACAGAGCCUUCCACACACAGCAACAGCCAAGCCAAGCCAAGGCUUGGACCGACGAUGAACCAACCGAAACGGCCCAGCAAGAUGCACCAGCAAAGGAAGGGCGCGGCGCCCCCAGGCCAAGGAGGGGGCGGCCCCACAUCGCUCGAGCCCUCGCUCGAUGACGCGUGGGCCCGCCUCCUCCAACUCCAACGGCCCCCAUCGCGCCUCCUCCCGCCCGCCGCGGUACGAGGCAGGCUGACAGGUGGGGGCCGCCACGCCGCCGGUAUAUAUACCGGUGUCGGUGUGCCCCCUCUGUCCAUCCUCCUCCCACCGCCACAUCUCCCCCAUCUGCCACGGAUCGCUCGCCGGAGACGCCCGCCGCCACAGAUCGCCCGCAGGAGACGCCCACCGCCCCUGAUCGCUCGCCGGAGGUGCCCACCGCCCCAGAUCGCUCGCAGGAGACGCCCACCACCACCGGUUGGACCUCCUGGUUAUCCAUGGCCGCCGUUCUCCGCGGUGCUCGCGCUGGCCGUGGCGGCCCUGGCCGCGCUCAGGGGAGGCAGAGGGGCGCCGCCGUGCAGCAGGCCCCGGCCCAGGCAGCAGCCCCCGUCCUCAACCCCAACCCCAACCCCAACAGGUGUAGAUCAGCAUUUAGCACUUUUUUGGACAACGGUGAUGGAGAACCUGAAAGAUCAGGAUCGGGAAGGCAUCAAAUUUUAUGAAUUCCUUCAAAAGUCCGCGUUAGUUGAUCCCAUGGAGUUGAUGAAGUUCGGUAUUUCGGAUGGUCUCGCUGCCCAGCGACCAGAGGAGGUUAUCAAGCUCAGAAGCGUGACUGAUGUGUUCAAUAACAUGAUGCCAAUCAGGCAAAGGUACCUGUAUAAAUACAUACAUGGUGAGCGGGGUAGUGGAGAGAUUACUAAGAUGGAGAAACGUUUGAGGAAGGGAGUAGAACUAUCUGAUCAGAAAAUACAGGAUAUCAGGGAUGGGAACGCAUUCUGCCCUCAACGGCCCAAGCUCUUCGACAACUACCCGAGGCCCCUUAAGAACUAA